CGCGUAGGCGGCAAUUUAAGUCAUCUGUGAAAUCUCCGGGCUUAACUCGGAACGGUCAGAUGAUACUACUUUGCUAGAGUGCAGAAGGGGCAAUCGGAAUUCUUGGUGUAGCGGUGAAAUGCGUAGAUAUCAAGAGGAACACCUGAGGUGAAGACGGGUUGCUGGGCUGACACUGACGCUGAGGCGCGAAGGCCAGGGAGCAACG
rnacentral:rRNA from 1 species